AUUGAACGCUGGCGGCAUGCCUAACACAUGCAAGUCGAACGGAGAUAGGGGCAACCUUAUUUCAGUGGCGGACGGGUGAGGAAUGCGUCGGAAUCUGCCCUAUGGUGGGGGAGUAACACAGGGAAACGUUAGUGCUAAUACCGCAUAAUGUCGAGAGACCAAAGACAGGGGACCGGCAAGGCCUUGCGCGAUAGGAUGAGCCGACGCCCGACUUAGCUUGUUGGUAGGGUAAUGGCCUACCAAGGCGACGAUCGGUAGCUGGUCUGAGAGGAUGAUCAGCCACACUGGGACUGAGACACGGCCCAGACUCCUACGGGAGGGCAGCAGUGGGGGAA
rnacentral:rRNA from 1 species